UUUUUUUUUUUUUUCUUUCUCUUUGACAUGAAGUCUCUGUUGCCCAGGCUGGGGUGCAGUGGCACAAUCUCAGCUCACUGAAAGCUCCACCUCCCAGAUUCACGCCUUUAUCCACCUCAGCCUCCCAAGUAGCUGGGACUACAGGUUCUCACCACCAUGCCCGGCUAAUUUUUUGUAUUUUUAGUAGAGAUGGGGUUUCACCGUGUUAGCCAGGAUGGUCUCGAUCUCCUGACCUCUUGAUCCGCCCGCCUUGGCCUCCCAAAGUGCUAGGAUUACAGGCGUGAGCCCCCGUACCCGGCCUCCAUGUUUUGUUUAUGCAUUCAUCCAUUGGUGGUUAUAUAGUUGUGUCCACUUUCCGACCAUGGUAUUAUUGCUAUUAACAUUGUGAACACUGUUGCUAUUAACAUGAAGGUACAAAUAUUCUGAGACUCUGCUUUCAGGGGUAGAUUCCCAGAAGUAGAACUGCUGGAUCAUAUGUUGAUUCUAUAUUCAGCAGAACUUCCUGGUGUCCUGCUGGGGCCUGGUUUCUGCCUGGGGCCGGGUUUCUACCCGGGGAGUGGGUAUCUACUUGGUUGCUGUUGUUUACCUUGGUCCUAGAUACCCUCCUGGGACCUGGUGUGCACCUGGGGCCUAUGUCCACCUUGGACCUGUUGUUUCUCUGGGGCCUUAUGCCACCGUGGGUGUCAGUCUGGUUUCUGAUAUCCACGUGGAGCCUCAUAAGCCACCUGGGACCUGCUGGUCACUUGAAGCCUGGCAUUCUGGGUCCUGAUGUCACCCUGAGGUGUAGGUAUCCACCUGGGUCCCAGGUGUCCACCUAGGACCACAUGUUCAGCUCUGGUCUGAGUGUCUCUGAGUGUCCCUGUGGGGCCUGACACUCACCAGGGGCCUAGGUGUUUAUUUGAUGCCUGGUGUCCAUGUGGAGCAUGCCAUCCCAUGAGGAUAGAUAAUCAGGUGGGGACUGGGUAUCCACCUCAGGCCUAUUGUCCUCCUGGGGCCUCAGUGUUUACCUGAGUCUGAUAUCCAUCCUGUGCCUGCUGCCUACAUAGGGCCUCAUAUUCCCCUUGAUGCUGGAUGAUCACCCGAGUCCUUGGUAUCCUCUGUGGCACAACUGUCCACCUAUGGUUUUGCAUCCAGCUGUGGCCUGGAUGUGAUCCCGGUGCUUGAUGUACAGCUUGAGACUGUGUCCACCAGCGGCUUGAUGUCCAUCUGGGGGCCGGUGUCUACUUGGGGCCUGAUGUCGGCAUGGGGACUGAGCGCUUACUUGGGGCCUGAUGUCCAUCUGGGGCCUCCUGUUCACCUUGGGCCUGAUAUUUACCUGGGGCCUGGACAUCCACUAGGAGCCUGGAGUUCAAGUGGGGCCUGGUGUUCCACUGGGGCCUAUGUGUCAAUCUGGGAGCUGACAUACACCAAGACGCCUGAUGUCCCAGCUGGGACCUGGUUUUGGCCUGGGACCUGGUGUGUACGUGGGGCCUCGUGUCCACCUGGGGCCUGAUAUUCAGCUGGGGGCCUGGUGUCUACCUCGGACCUGCCUAUAUGCCAAACUGUGACCUAAUUUGUCCACUUGGGGCCUGAUGUCUAUGCAGAGACUGGAGUCCCCUUGGGAUCUUGUGUCCACCUGGGACCUGCUGUCAACGUGGUGUCUGAUGUCCAGUGUCUGUUUGUGGCCUGAUGUUUUCCUGGCUCCUUGGUGUCCACUGGGCCUUCUGUCCACCUGAAAGGGGUGUGUCCUCAUACACCGGCCCUUGCCCUGGGGAGAAUGGGUGGGGAGUUUUCCUGGCCCUGCCCUUCAUCAUCCAAGAACUCUCCGUCCUUCAUGUUUUAUGGGGAGAUUACUGUGUUGCAUUUGGCCAGAGUAUACGUUACCUUUCGGUUGUAGGGGACUGGUGUUUCCAACUGGGGGCUCAGGAUCCACUUGGAGGUUGGGUGUCCAUGUGUAACCUGAUGUACCUCUGGAUCUGGUUGCCCACAUGGGUCCUGGUGUCCACCUGGAGCCUGAUGUUUCCCAGGGGCCUGGCUAUCCACUUGGGUCUCGAUGUUCAUCUAG
rnacentral:lncRNA from 1 species